rnacentral:tmRNA from 1 species
GGGGACGACUGGUUUUGACAGCAAGGUCAGAGAAUUUGUAAGCAUAUCAAGGAGUGAAAUGAAUACUUGUAAAACUUAUUUCAAAAUUAUAAACGGCGAAGAUAACUACGCUUUAGCUGCAUAAUCUGAAUCACAGUAAGAUUAAGCCAAGGCUCACAAGGUGAGCAAGCUAAAUGUCCACGAAAAGCCUUGGUUUACGGCGUUUCAUUUUUGGGCAUCGUAAAAGUAAACAUAGAAAAUCUAUUGCUUUGUUAGGUUUUUGAAACUUUUAAAAGCUAAGUAUUAAGUAGAUUGUUUUUGGUCAGCUUUAUACCGAAAAUUAAACAAAAACUAAAUAUGUAGAAAGCUAAUUUGCUGCUUGUUUGGACCCGAGUUCGAUUCUCGGCGUCUCCACAA